GUAAAUUCCUUGAUGGGAAUAGUAUGUAUAAGUUCUGUCCCUCAGAGAGCCGGCAUCCGCUGAAAGCCGGUGUUCAGACUUAGCAGAAGAUCAUCCCGGAGAAGCGAAGCUUAAAGCGUCAUAGAACGUGAGUAAGCUGAGCCGUCAGCCGAACGUUAUAUCGGACCAUGUCUGUAGUAAUGGACUUGGACUUUAAGGUGCUGCUGAACUUGCUCCUGCUUUAUGAUAAGGAGAUCAGCAGAAUUAGGGUGGUAUCGCGAGAACAGGUUCUCGUCCCUUUC
rnacentral:ncRNA from 1 species